rnacentral:rRNA from 1 species
UACGGGGGGGGCAAGCGUUGUUCGGAAUUACUGGGCGUAAAGCGUGCGCAGGCGGCUUUGCAAGACAGAUGUGAAAUCCCCGGGCUUAACCUGGGAACUGCAUUUAUGACUGCAUGGCUAGAGUACGGUAGAGGGGGAUGGAAUUCCGCGUGUAGCAGUGAAAUGCGUAGAUAUGCGGAGGAACACCGAUGGCGAAGGCAGUCCCCUGGACCUGUACUGACGCUCAUGCACGAAAGCGUGGGGAGCAAACAGG